rnacentral:rRNA from 1 species
UGGCGAACGGGUGAGUAACACGUAGGCAACCUGCCCCAAAGAGGGGGAUAACACUUGGAAACAGGUGCUAAUACCGCAUAACCAUGAACACCGCAUGAUGUUCAUGUAAAAGACGGCUUUUGCUGUCACUUUUGGAUGGGCCUGCGGCGUAUUAACUUGUUGGUGGGGUAACGGCCUACCAAGGUGAUGAUACGUAGCCAAACUGAGAGGUUGAUCGGCCACAUUGGGACUGAGACACGGCCCAAACUCCUACGGGAGGCAGCAGUAGGGAAUCUUCCACAAUGGACGAAAGUCUGAUGGAGCAACGCCGCGUGAAUGAAGAAGGCCUUCGGGUCGUAAAAUUCUGUUGUCAGAGAAGAACGUGCGUGAGAGUAACUGUUCACGUAUUGACGGUAUCUGACCAGAAAGCCACGGCUAACUACGUGCCAGCAGCCGCGGUAAUACGUAGGUGGCGAGCGCUGUCCGGAUUUAUUGGGCGUAAAGGGAACGCAGGCGGUCUUUUAAGUCUGAUGUGAAAGCCUUCGGCUUAACCGAAGUAGUGCAUUGGAAACUGGAAGACUUGAGUGCAGAAGAGGAGAGUGGAACUCCAUGUGUAGCGGUGAAAUGCGUAGAUAUAUGGAAGAACACCAGUGGCGAAAGCGGCUCUCUGGUCUGUAACUGACGCUGAGGUUCGAAAGCGUGGGUAGCAAACAGGAUUAGAUACCCUGGUAGUCCACGCCGUAAACGAUGAGUGCUAAGUGUUGGAGGGUUUCCGCCCUUCAGUGCUGCAGCUAACGCAUUAAGCACUCCGCCUGGGGAGUACGGUCG